GUAAACGUUGCCAAUGAUGAUGUCAAGGCAGAGACUUCUCCAUCACCCAAGAGAAAGCCAAUUACCUUCAACAUCAACAAUACCAUUGCCAAACCAUCAAACAGCCCAACGCUCCAUGUCAGUAAGAUAUAAAGUGGGUUUUGUGGAAGAAGGCAAGAGGAUGUCAUACAGGUGGGAAAUAUUGUGUAUUUUUUGGUGUUUUUGUGCUGUACAGUGGAUGUUACUAAAUAAAAAUGCCAAAAAAAAGAAAUAUUUAUUCUCUCAGAAAUUAUAUUAACAAUUUCCUGAGGUAA
rnacentral:lncRNA from 1 species